UGAUUUUGUAUCAGCGUCUCCCCGGUAGGUGGUAGUUAUUUGACUAUGCCGUUGAGGACCGGUUUGUGUCUGCUUCUUUACCUCUACAUCCAAUGCCUUACCAGUACUUUUCUCACUCAGGUGGAGAACCAGUACCACCCCAUUCUUGACCUGACCUGGACUCAAGACAGCAGACAACAUACUUUUUUGAACAGGUGGACAGCCGGCGCGUGGUAGGAAAGCUCUCUAGCCGUGGAGUGUGAUUUGUAUCAGCGUCUCCCCGGUGGAGAACCAGUACCACCCCAUUCUUGACACGACCUGGACUCAAGACAGCGGACAACAUGUAAGCGCACAGCGGUGUGAAGAGCCACAACCUUGCCGAGACCUCUGAUGCUUCGGUUGCGUUUUUUAAUAAGUAUAUUUUUUUCCUGGACCUUUCCAGACUUUUUUGAACAGGUGGACAGCCGGCGCGUGGUAGGAAAGCUCUCUAGCCG